UCUCUGUUAGUAUAUCGGUUAGUACACGCGCCUGUCAUUCUUGUGGCCGCGCGAAAGCGGGGUUCGACUCCCCGACAGAGAG